AUUCCAGCUCCAAUAGCGUAUAUUAAAGUUGUUGUGGUUAAAAAGCUCGUAGUUGGAUCUCGGCGGUCUGAGGGCGGUUCGCUUCAGAGCGCUACUGCCCUAUAGACCGUAGUUUUGCCAGAGGUCUCAGGGUGCUCUUAACCGAGUGUCUUGCGAUGCUGGCAGGUUUACUUUGAAAAAAUUAGAGUGCUCAAAGCAGGCUUUUACGCCUGAAUAUUCGUGCAUGGAAUAAUAGAAUAGGAAGUCGUUUCUAUUUUGUUGGUUUUCGGAAAUCGACUUAAUGAUUAAUAGGGACAGUCAGGGGCACUCGUAUUCCGCCGAGAGAGGUGAAAUUCUCAGACCAGCGGAAGACGAACCACUGCGAAAGCAUUUGCCAGGGAUGUCUUCAUCA
rnacentral:rRNA from 1 species